rnacentral:rRNA from 1 species
AUGGCAGCGAUCAUGGCGGGGCGCGGGCAGGGGCUGGAGCAAGAUUUCGAUUUCUUCGUGGUGGUCGACUUCGAGGCGACGUGCGUCCAAGACGCGCGGAUCUUCCCCCAGGAAAUCAUUGAGUUCCCCGCCGUGCUCAUCGACGGUGCCACCGGCCGCAUCGAGUCCCUCUUUCGCAGGUAUGUUCGUCCAAAACAUCACCCUGUGCUGACCCAGUUUUGUAGGGAACUCACCGGCAUCCGGCAGGAGGACGUCGACGGCGGUGUGGAUCUCGGCGAGGCGCUCUGGCUGCACGACGCUUGGUUGAAGGCGGCGACGGCGGGGGUAGGGAACAAGAGACGCGUCUGCUUGGCCGUCGUGACAUGGGGGGACUGGGAUUGCCGGACCAUGCUCGAGUUCGAGUGCCGCUUCAAGGGCAUCGAGAAACCCUCGUACUUCGAUCAGUGGAUCAAUCUGAGAGUCCCCUUCCAGGCGGCGCUCGGUGGCGGAGGGCCGGUCAACCUGCAGGAAGCGGUCCACGCGGCGGGGCUAGACUGGGAGGGCCGCCUGCACUGCAGGCUGGACGACGCGUGUAACACCGCGCGGCUGCUUGCUGAGCUCAUGCGGCGCGGGGUCAAGAUCAACAUCACCGGCUCGCUGGCGCCGCCGCCGCCGAUGCAGAAGCAGCCGGCUCGCACAAGCCUUUGCGGUGGCUCACUGGCGCUUGCGUCCGUGCCGCCGCCGAUCCAGCAGCAGCCGCCUUGCACGGGCCCUUUCGGUGGCUCGUUUGCGCUGGUGCCGGCGCCGCCGAUCCAGCAGAAGCAGCAGCCACACAUAAUCAACCCCUGCGGUGGCUCCUCUGCACCGUGCUUCUGGUACUGCGGCAUGGCGAGCAGAGGAGGCAUGGAGCCAGGGCCGACGCAGUCUGGAUGCGGCAACUGGACGCUGGUCAUGGGUCUACUUCCUGUGGAGCAACUGAACCCAGUGUCGCUCAGCUGCAAGUGUUGA